rnacentral:rRNA from 1 species
GACGGGGGGGGCAAGUGUUCUUCGGAAGUGACUGGGCGUAAAGGGCACGUAGGCGGUGAAUCGGGUUGAAAGUGAAAGUCGCCAAAAAGUGGCGGAAUGCUCUCGAAACCAAUUCACUUGAGUGAGACAGAGGAGAGUGGAAUUUCGUGUGUAGGGGGUGAAAUCCGUAAAUAUACGAAGGAACGCCAAAAGCGAAGGACAGCUCUCUGGGUCCCUACCCGACGCUGGAGUGCGAAAGCAUGGGGGAGC